rnacentral:rRNA from 1 species
GGCCUGGCUGGACGGUCCGCCCUUCGGGUGAGUACUGUCUGUGGUCGGGUCCUACCUUCUGGCGAAGCGUCAUGGCCUUAACCGGCCGUGGCGGGGAACCAGGACUUUUACUGUGAAAAAAUUAGAGUGUUCAAAGCAGGCAAUCGCUUGGAUACAUUAGCAUGGAAUAAUGAAAUAGGACAAUGGUUCUAUUUGUUGGUUUCUAGGACCGUUGUAAUGAUUAAUAGGGAUAGUUGGG